rnacentral:rRNA from 1 species
CAGCCGCCGCGGGAACACGAAGGGUGCAAGCGUUAAUCGGAAUUACUGGGCGUAAAGCGUGCGUAGGCGGUGAGUUAAGUCUGCUGUGAAAUCCCCGGGCUCAACCUGGGAAUGGCAGUGGAUACUGGCUCGCUAGAGUGUGUCAGAGGAUGGUGGAAUUCCCGGUGUAGCGGUGAAAUGCGUAGAGAUCGGGAGGAACAUCAGUGGCGAAGGCGGCCAUCUGGGACAACACUGACGCUGAGGCACGAAAGCGUGGGGAGCAAAUAGGAUUAGAUACCCCCGUAGUCCCUGUCUCUUAUAC